AUCAACGCUGGCGGCGUGCCUAACACAUGCAAGUCGAACGCGAAAGGGGCUUCGGUCCUGAGUAGAGUGGCGUCCGGGUGAGUAACGCGUGGGUAAUCUACCCUUGGGUGGGAAUAACCAGUCGAAGAUUGGCUAAUACCGCAUAAUGCAGCGGCUCGACAUCGAGACAGUUAUUAAAGCAGCAAUGCGCCAGAGGAGGAGCCUGCGUCUGAUUAGCUUGUUGGCGGGGUAACGG
rnacentral:rRNA from 1 species